rnacentral:rRNA from 1 species
UACGUAGGGGGCAAGCGUUGUCCGGAUUUAUUGGGCGUAAAGCGCGUGUAGGCGGCCAGGUAGGUCCGCUGUGAAAACCCGAGGCUCAACCUCGGGACGUCGGCGGAAACCAUUUGGCUAGAGUCCGGAAGAGGAGAGUGGAAUUCCUGGUGUAGCGGUGAAAUGCGCAGAUAUCAGGAGGAACAGCCGGUGGCGAAGGCGGGUCUCUGGGCAGUAACUGACGCUGAGGAGCGAAAGCGUGGGAGCGAACAGG